UGGAUCCAGACUUUGAUCAUGGCUCAGGAUGAACGCUAGCUACAGGCUUAACACAUGCAAGUCGAGGGGCAGCGGGAUUGAAGCUUGCUUCAAUUGCCGGCGACCGGCGCACGGGUGAGUAACGCGUAUCCAACCUUCCGUACACUCAGGGAUAGCCUUUCGAAAGAAAGAUUAAUACCUGAUGGUAUGAUGAGAUUGCAUAAUAGCAUCAUUAAAGAUUUAUCGGUGUACGAUGGGGAUGCGUUCCAUUAGGUAGUAGGCGGGGUAACGGCCCACCUAGCCAACGAUGGAUAGGGGUUCUGAGAGGAAGGUCCCCCACAUUGGAACUGAGACACGGUCCAAACUCCUACGGGAGGCAGCAGUGAGGAAUAUUGGUCAAUGGACGAGAGUCUGAACCAGCCAAGUAGCGUGAAGGAUGAAGGUCCUACGGAUUGUAAACUUCUUUUAUAAGGGAAUAAACCCUCCCACGUGUGGGAGCUUGUAUGUACCUUAUGAAUAAGCAUCGGCUAACUCCGUGCCAGCAGCCGCGGUAAUACGGAGGAUGCGAGCGUUAUCCGGAUUUAUUGGGUUUAAAGGGAGCGCAGACGGGUCGUUAAGUCAGCUGUGAAAGUUUGGGGCUCAACCUUAAAAUUGCAGUUGAUACUGGCGUCCUUGAGUGCGGUUGAGGUGUGCGGAAUUCGUGGUGUAGCGGUGAAAUGCUUAGAUAUCACGAAGAACUCCGAUUGCGAAGGCAGCACACUAAUCCGUAACUGACGUUCAUGCUCGAAAGUGUGGGUAUCAAACAGGAUUAGAUACCCUGGUAGUCCACACGGUAAACGAUGGAUACUCGCUGUUGGCGAUAUACUGUCAGCGGCUUAGCGAAAGCGUUAAGUAUCCCACCUGGGGAGUACGCCGGCAACGGUGCAACUCAAA
rnacentral:rRNA from 2 species